rnacentral:rRNA from 1 species
AUUGAACGCUGGCGGCAUGCUUUACACAUGCAAGUCGAACGGCAGCGCGGGCUUCGGCCUGGCGGCGAGUGGCGAACGGGUGAGUAAUGCAUCGGAACGUGCCCAGUAGUGGGGGAUAGCCCGGCGAAAGCCGGAUUAAUACCGCAUACGACCUGAGGGUGAAAGCGGGGGACCGAAAGGCCUCGCGCUAUUGGAGCGGCCGAUGUCGGAUUAGCUAGUUGGUGGGGUAAAGGCUUACCAAGGCGACGAUCCGUAGCUGGUCUGAGAGGACGACCAGCCACACUGGGACUGAGACACGGCCCAGACUCCUACGGGAGGCAGCAGUGGGGAAUUUUGGACAACGGGGGCAACCCUGAUCCAGCCAUGCCGCGUGCGGGAAGAAGGCCUUCGGGUUGUAAACCGCUUUUGUUCGGGAAGAAAUCCUCUGGGCUAAUACCCCGGGGGGAUGACGGUACCGGAAGAAUAAGCACCGGCUAACUACGUG